rnacentral:rRNA from 1 species
UACAGAGGGGGCAAGCGUUAUUCGGAAUUAUUGGGCGUAAAGGGCGCGUAGGCGGCCUGGCAAGUGGAAGGUGAAAUCCCUCGGCUUAACCGAGGAACUGCCCUCCAAACUGCUUGGCUUGAGUCCGGGAGAGGUGAGUGGAAUUCCCAGUGUAGCGGUGAAAUGCGUAGAUAUUGGGAGGGACACCAGUGGCGAAGGCGGCUCACUGGACCGGAACUGACGCUGAGGCGCGAAAGCGUGGGGAGCAAACGGG